GCUCAUUCCUGCUCCACCAGGUUCAGCUGGGGUGACUUGAAGAUGAGACCUGGAAUUACCUGCAGGCUCGCUCACUCAUCAGUGGUGGUGAGCUGCUGCCAGUUGAGACUUUAGCUGGGGUACUUAGCCAGAACGCCUACACACAGCCUCUCCAUGUGACCUGGGCUUCCUCACAACGUCGUCCUUGGAUUCCAAGGGUGAACAUCCCAAGAGAGAGAGCCAGAUGGAACCCUUAUGACCUUGCCUUGGAAUCUUCCCUAUCAGCCACUUGCAAGAGCUCCAUUUCUACCCAGUAAAAGCCGAUGGUCCUGCUGAG
rnacentral:lncRNA from 1 species